GAGUUUGAUCGUGGCUCAGGAUGAACGCUGGCGGCGUGCCUAAUACAUGCAAGUCGAGCGAACGGACGAGAAGCUUGCUUCUCUGAUGUUAGCGGCGGACGGGCGAGUAACACGUGGAUAACCUACCUAUAAGACUGGGAUAACUUCGGGAAACCGGAGCUAAUACCGGAUAAUAUUUUGAACCGCAUGGUUCAAAAGUGAAAGACGGUCUUGCUGUCACUUAUAGAUGAAUCCGCGCUGCAUUAGCUAGUUGGUAAGGUAACGGCUUACCAAGGCAACGAUGCAUAGCCGACCUGAGAGGGUGAUCGGCCACACUGGAACUGAGACACGGUCCAGACUCCUACGGGAGGCAGCAGUAGGGAAUCUUCCGCAAUGGGCGAAAGCCUGACGGAGCAACGCCGCGUGAGUGAUGAAGGUCUUCGGAUCGUAAAACUCUGUUAUUAGGGAAGAACAUAUGUGUAAGUAACUGUGCACAUCUUGACGGUACCUAAUCAGAAAGCCACGGCUAACUACGUCG
rnacentral:rRNA from 1 species